GACGAACGCUGGCGGCGUGCUUAACACAUGCAAGUCGAACGGGCCCGCCCCUGUUUUUGGGGGUGGGUUGAGUGGCGAACGGGUGAGUAUCACGUGAGUAACCUGCCCCCUGCUCCUGGAUAACUGCUUGAAAGGGCGGCUAAUACGGGGUGUGCCGGCUGGUCCGCAUGGGCCUGGUCGGGAUAGUUUCAUCUUCGGGUGUUUCGGUGGGGGAUGGGCUCGCGGCCUAUCAGCUUGUUGGUGGGGUGAUGGCCCACCAAGGCGGUGACGGGUAGCCGGCCUGAGAGGGUGGGCGGCCACACUGGGACGGAGACACGGCCCAGAGUCCUGCGGGAGGCAGCAGUGGGGGGUAGUGCACAAUGGGCGGAAGCCUGAGGCAGCGACGUCGCGUGAGGGAUGGAGGCCGUCGGGUUGUGAACCUCUUUCUCCGGUGGUGAAGGCCCUGUCCGUUGCGGCGGGGUUGACGGUAGCCGGGUAUGAAGCGCCGGCUAACUACGUG
rnacentral:rRNA from 1 species